AUGGAGGUGACUAAGACACUGCCCUUGUCCCAAGGGAGUCCAGUGGGGCUCACAGGCCAGUGACCUCAUACAUUGGCAUCAUGGGCAGGCACAGAGCAGUCAAGGAAGGUUUCUUGGAGGCAGUGAUAAUUUACACAGAGACUUGGCUCCCGGAGAGGUCUGUGAUGGGGGAGGCUACAUUUGUUCUGUCCACUCCUAUGUCCCCAGCAUAGUGCCCAGGACAUCAUAGGCACCCAAAAUGUAGGCACUGGAUCACCAAACAAGUGGGAGUUAGUCCAGGUGAGGCAGAGAGGCUCUGGGAGGUCCUGGGCUGGCCCUCUGGCUGCUCCGUGGUCCGCGGUGGCCAGGCUCGUCUCCUGCAGGAGCUAUGAGUCCCUGCCACCAGUCAACCCCUCUGCAUGGCUCCCGGUGGGCAAGCUCAGGGCGAGGACUCAUCUCAGCAGAGGAUCUCGGACGUCUGGCAGGUCUUGGCUGUUUCAUUGCGGUGUUGGGG
rnacentral:lncRNA from 1 species